AUGAGCUGGCGCGACCGGUACUGCAUCAUGCUCGGUGUGGCUAGAGGGCUGGCCUACCUGCACCAUGGCUGCCGCGACUGCAUCAUACACUGCGACAUCAAGCCGGAGAACAUCUUGCUGGACGAGGACAUGUCCCCGAGGAUCGCCGACUUUGGGAUGGCGAAGCUGGUGGGGAGGGACUUCAGCCGCGCGCUGACGAGCAUGCGGGGCACCAUCGGGUACCUGGCACCGGAGUGGAUCUCUGGGCAGCCUAUCAGUGCUAAGGCCGACGUGUACAGCUUUGGCAUGGUGCUCUUCGAGCUCAUCUCGGGACGACGUAACUCCAAAGGGUACAGCGAGCUGGAGGCGGCAGGGACUGGUGGGAGUGAGUCCUCCUUGACCUUCUUCCCAGUGUGGGCCGCUGCAAAGGUUUUGGAAGGUGAGGUGGGCGCCGUGGCUGACCUGCGGUUGCGCGGCGAUGUGAUGCCGAAGGAGCUGGAGCGGGCGUGCAGGGUGGCAUGCUGGUGCAUCCAGGACGAGGAGGCGCAGCGCCCAACCAUGGCGCAGGUCGUGCAGGCGCUGGAAGGCGUCGUCCAAAACCAAGCGCCGCCGGUGCCACGAACGCUGGAGCACCUUGUCACCCUCGUGUAA
rnacentral:rRNA from 1 species